rnacentral:lncRNA from 1 species
GAGCGUUGUUUACUUUAUGCUAUCAUUUUGUAUGAGACUAUGUGAUAUAUUAUAUUCCGCUAUGUAAUAAACACUGCAAUGGUACAUUUGAGAUUUGUCUACUUAUGUGUGCGACUAUUCCUGGGGCACAUAUGAGUCUUUUAUGCAUCCUAUUUUGUUCUUAAAAUAUGGGUGUGACAUAUUAAAGGCAAGUCUAAUGAAACCCUUAGAUGGAAGCAGCAAGUCUGAUGAAACCCUUAGAUGGAAGCUUUUUCCUUUCUCUUUGGAAGGAAAAGUUAAGAUCUGGUAUAGUAGAACCACACCAAGUAAGGAAGGGACUUGGGAAGCCCUUUGUUCUAGCUUUUGCAUGGACUUCUCUAUUCACA